UACACACAAUAUAUAUGCACACAGAAGACGAGAGAAGAGGGGGACUCAACUCGAAGAUACGACCGUAUAUAUAUGAACACGAAAUCCCCUUUCAUUACUUCUUUUGUCGUACCUCUCUCUCUCUCUCCCUCUCUUCUGCGACUCUCCCUCUAACUCUCUCAUGCAUGGCAAUUGCGGAUUGAAUUCGAAAUUAGGGCACGAAAUCGACCACGAUCGAUAGAAUAAAGAUGUAAUUUUAAGGGGAUUGCGAAGUUUUUGAGGGCUGAAACAUCAAUCUCUGAAGCUUUCAUUUGGUUUCUAAUAAAAGAUUUUAGGGUUUUAUUUUUUUCUUGUGUGGAAGUUCACGCAUGAAGGGUUCGCUAGAUCGGACGAAGGUUGUGCUCCGGCACUUGCCGCCGUCGAUUUCACAGUCGAUGCUCAUGGAGCAAAUCGACGGCCGCUUUGCUGACCGCUAUAACUGGUUCUCUUUCCCCUCCGGCAAGAACAGCCAGAAGUGUCAAUCCUAUUCUAGAGCAUACAUUGACUUCAAGAGGCCAGAGGAUGUUGUUGAGUUCGCUGAGUUUUUUGAUGGGCAUGUUUUUGUUAACGAGAAAGGUACUCAAUUUAAAACUAUUGUUGAGUAUGCUCCUUCACAACGAGUUCCAAAGCAGUGGUCUAAAAAAGAUGGACGUGAAGGGACGAUAUUUAAAGAUCCUGAGUAUCUGGAGUUCCUUGAAUUUCUUGCGAAGCCUGUUGAGAAUCUUCCCAGUGCAGAGAUACAAUUGGAGAGAAGAGAAGCAGAACGAGCUGGCACGGCAAAGGAUGCUCCUAUCAUUACACCCUUAAUGGAUUUUGUUCGUCAGAAAAGAGCUUCAAAGGUUGGAUCUCGGAGAUCUUUGUCUAAUGGGAAAUUGUCUAGAAGAUCUGCUGGAGCAUCAUCUGCAAGUCCUAGUGCAGCUUCAUCAAAACGAGGUUUGGGAAAGAGAAGGACUUCUACGACCAUGUAUGUUUUAAGGGAGACUGCAAAGGGCACAAGCGGCAAAGACAAAUCUACGUACAUUCUGGUUCCUAGACGAGAUGAUCAGCAUCUUGCCGACAAGUCUUCUACUCCUGCUGCAUCUGGAGCUGAAGCAUUGGAAGUGGAAAGUGGAGUUCCUAGAAUCAAUGAUAUCGGGAAGAAGAAAAUCCUGCUUUUGAAGGGAAAAGAGAAAGAAAUUCCUCAUGUGACUGGUGGCAUGCAAAGUGCAACAUUUCCUGGUAAGAACUCACUUGGUUCUACUCCUCUCAAACAGAACCUGCGACGUGAAGCUAGUGGAAGGAUAUUCAGAAGCAUACUUCAAAAUAAGGAUGGACAUCAAAGUCAGUUGUCAUCUGUGGUUCAGGCUGAACAGCAAAUCCAGACCUCAAGUCUGGAAAAGGACAAAAGACCUCCUCGACCACCAAAUUUGCAAUUGUUUUUGAAGGAUACAAAUGGGGCAUCCGAAGAUAAAGCUGUUGGAAAUGAUUUGCAUGGUUUCUCUGGCGAGAAACAGGAGAAGCGUACGAGGAAUAAGGACCGACCUGAUCGUGGUGUUUGGACUCCUCUUCGGCGUUCAGAUGGAUCACAUGCAAGUGAUGAGUCUUUGUCAUCCUCUACUUCUCAACCUUCCCAAUUACAACUUGAUUCCACAGAAGGUAGUCAAGGAGAAUUCAGAACUGACAUGUCAAAUGCACGGAGUGGAGAAGUUAAAACCCUUGGACGCGUCAGUCAUUCCUCUCUUGAUAAUGGCUCCUAUAAACAUGGUGGUCGCCGUGGACCACCACAUAAUUUGAAGGAUGGUGAUGGUUCUUCCGUAAUGAGUGAGGGGAAGCCCUUAAAAAGAGGUUCUUCUGGCUAUGGUUCCCAUGAGAAACAAGUGUGGGUUCAAAAGUCAAGUUCGGGUUCUUAGUUGUUAUAACUGAAAGAUUUACAUAUUGAUCAACAAAAGCAUGGACUGACUUUCCUUCAUGGUGACUGGAAUUGGAAAUAAAGUAAAAAAAAUUGAAAGGCUUGGUCUCUAACCUUUCGAAAAAAAAAAAGAAAGGCUUGGUCUGUUUACCAUAGUGGAAGAUUCAUCUGCUGGUUGCUGGAAGAUCACUUUUACUAGACUGAAUAUCUGGUGUAACCAAGUUCCAGGAACGGAAAAAGUAGUUCCAAACAAAAAAGGUCCAUUUUGGAAGACCUUCGAGGAGGAGCUCCAGUUUAUCUGAGUGAUGAAGACAUUAAUGUACUUACUGUUUGGUGGCUGAAGAAAUUCUAAUCCUACUUAGUCAAACGGACGGAAUAGGACCAAAGAAAAGAAGGGAUGGAGCGGAUUGUAUCAAUUAUAAUACAUAACACCACCAUUUUAACAAGGGUGCCCCUUCUAUGGGGUUCUGCUCACAGGAGGUGCUAUGGAUAUCCUCAUUCUUGCUGUUGACGGAGCUGGGUAUUGAGAUGUUAUAGGUUUAUAGGUAGUUAUCUUCUUUUCGUUGAACUGUAAAUAUAAUCAGUGAUGAUGUAUACUGCCUCGUAUACUUUAUAUAUAUUUUUUGUUGAUCGGUCUGCCAUGCAGUAGUGGUGAGCAUAUGUUUGUGGUAUGGUGGACAUUAGGGUUUUUCUGUAAUUGGGUUUGAUUGAGAGAAGAAAACUGUGUGAAGCCACCAACUUGAAAGUAGUAUGUUUUGGAUACUGGGAUGCAUAGAGAAACUUAUUGCUCAUAGGAACUGGUUGGGUUUUGUUUAGGGGUGCCAUCUGGGUAGAUGAGGGUCAAAUGUGUUGCCUCAAGAUUCUAUUUAACCCGUCUCAGGUGCUACAGUACUUAUUUUCUCAGUAAUGUUUGUGUUGCCUUA